rnacentral:rRNA from 1 species
AUUGAACGCUGGCGGCAGGCCUAACACAUGCAAGUCGAGCGGAUGAUGGGAGCUUGCUCCUGGAUUCAGCGGCGGACGGGUGAGUAAUGCCUAGGAAUCUGCCUGGUAGUGGGGGACAACGUUUCGAAAGGAACGCUAAUACCUCAUACGUCCUACGGGAGAAAGCAGGGGACCUUCGGGCCUUGCGCUAUCAGAUGAGCCUAGGUCGGAUUAGCUAGUUGGUGGGGUAAAGGCCUACCAAGGCGACGAUCCGUAACUGGUCUGAGAGGAUGAUCAGUCACACUGGAACUGAGACACGGUCCAGACUCCUACGGGAGGCAGCAGUGGGGAAUAUUGGACAAUGGGCGAAAGCCUGAUCCAGCCAUGCCGCGUGUGUGAAGAAGGUCUUCGGAUUGUAAAGCACUUUAAGUUGGGAGGAAGGGCAGUAAGUUAAUACCUUGCUGUUUUGACGUUACCAACAGAAUAAGCACCGGCUAACUUCGUGCCAGCCGCCGCAGUAAGAC